rnacentral:rRNA from 1 species
AAUACAUGCAAGUCGAGCGAACUGAUUAGAAGCUUGCUUCUAUGACGUUAGCGGCGGACGGGUGAGUAACACGUGGGCAACCUGCCUGUAAGACUGGGAUAACUUCGGGAAACCGAAGCUAAUACCGGAUAGGAUCUUCUCCUUCAUGGGAGAUGAUUGAAAGAUGGUUUCGGCUAUCACUUACAGAUGGGCCCGCGGUGCAUUAGCUAGUUGGUGAGGUAACGGCUCACCAAGGCAACGAUGCAUAGCCGACCUGAGAGGGUGAUCGGCCACACUGGGACUGAGACACGGCCCAGACUCCUACGGGAGGCAGCAGUAGGGAAUCUUCCGCAAUGGACGAAAGUCUGACGGAGCAACGCCGCGUGAGUGAUGAAGGCUUUCGGGUCGUAAAACUCUGUUGUUAGGGAAGAACAAGUACGAGAGUAACUGCUCGUACCUUGACGGUACCUAACCAGAAAGCCACGGCUAACUACGUGCCAGCAGCCGCGGUAAUACGUAGGUGGCAAGCGUUAUCCGGAAUUAUUGGGCGUAAAGCGCGCGC